GUGCCAGCAGCCGCGGUAAUACGAAGGGGGCUAGCGUUGUUCGGAAUUACUGGGCGUAAAGCGCACGUAGGCGGGUUUGUAAGUAGGGGGUGAAAUCCCAGAGCUCAACUCUGGAACUGCCUUCUAAACUGCAAGCCUGGAGGUCAGGAGAGGCGAGUGGAAUACCGAGUGUAGAGGUGAAAUUCGUAGAUAUUCGGUGGAACACCAGUGGCGAAGGCGACUCGCUGGACUGAUACUGACGCUGAGGUGCGAAAGCGUGGGGAGCAAACAGGAUUAGAUACCCUCGUAGUCC
rnacentral:rRNA from 1 species